rnacentral:rRNA from 1 species
CCUGAGAAACCCGAAAGAUCGAAUGGGGAGAUUCAUCGUCAGCGAUUUCGGUGCGUGUGCGGCUCGCGAUGUCAGAGACUUCGGUCUCGCGGCACGCGUCCGUAUGUUUUUUAUUGCCGGAAUCGUCGGCGUGCACUUCUCCCCUAGUAGGACGUCGCGACCCGUUGGGUGUCGGUCUACGGCACGGUAGGGUAGCCUGUCACGUGUGCGCUUCACGGCGUUACGCGGGGCAGACCUCCGUGUUCGCCCGACCGGCUGCUCGGCGGUACUCGCAAGGUAUCUGGCCGCAGACAUACGAACUGCGUCCGGCCCGUCGCAAGCGCGGCAAGUGUCUCCCGGCUGUACGGAUCCAAUGCCGUCACCGGGCCUUGCCAGCUGUUGGUUGACGGUGUCCUAGGACUGGCUAACAAAAUUAUGAUACCGGUCGGCGACGCUACUGCUUUGGGUACUUUCAGGA